UACGUAGGGUGCGAGCGUUAUUCGGAAUUACUGGGCGUAAAGCGUGCGCAGGCGGUUUUUCAAGACAGAUGUGAAAUCCCCGGGCUUAACCUGGGAAUGGCAUUUGUGACUGGAAGGCUAGAGGGUGUCAGAGGGGGGUAGAAUUCCACGUGUAGCAGUGAAAUGCGUAGAGAUGUGGAGGAAUACCGAUAGCGAAGGCAGCUCCCUGGGAUAACACUGACGCUCAUGCACGAAAGCGUGGGGAGCAAACAGG
rnacentral:rRNA from 1 species